rnacentral:lncRNA from 1 species
UUCCGCACCUCUUCUGCUCUCUCUCGCUUCACUUUCUCUCAACCCUCUGUGCUCCCUAACUCCUCGUCUCUAUGCUCUCUCUCACCUCUCUACUCUCAGUGACAAAGCCCUCUCUCUCUCUUCUUUUUUUUUUGACAAAGUUUAGAACUUAUUGAUAGCAAAGCAGGUUACAAUAUAGCAGCACCAAGCCCUCUCUCUCUCUCUCUCACAGUGACAAGGCCCUCUCUCUCUCUCUCCUCUCUCCCUUCUCUGCUCUCAGGAGAUUUGGGGUUAGGGUUCGUAUCAGUGCUAAGGUUCGAUGAAUCAGAGCCAGAAUCAGGGUUUGGAUUAGGGUUAGGAUUUUGAGAAUGGCCCUCCGAUGAAGAAGAAGUGGUUGUGGUUUGAGGAGGAGGAGCGAGAAAGGAGACAACACCAUGAAGCUGGCGAGUGAAGGUUUUGGGCAGUUGAGAGAGAUCUUCUUUGAUGCCCUUUGAUGGAGGAGAGGUGGAGUCUAUCGUUCAUUCUACUGAGGAUUGUCAGUCGUCCGUGAAAGGGGAGGCCAGAGACCUUGCAAACCAUGACAUCUCUCUCUCUCUCUCUAUACCUAUAAAAUCAGAAAGGGAAUGGGAUCUGAAGGCUCUCUAUGUUUUUAUCUCUUGAAGAGGAUCCGCUCUCUCUCUAAAAGGGGUGUCCAAAUUCUCUCUCUAGAAACCCUCUCUCUGUUUCUCAAUUCGAGGAGAAGAGGCGAAGCAGAAAAGGGAUCUGAUAAAUGUUUCUUUGCGUUUUGUUUGUUUCGGGGUGCUGGGGCAAAGUGGGCCGCAUGGGGCAUGCUUCACAACACUUUUGGACUUUUCGACAAAUCAAUGAAAUUAAACAUCCAAA